rnacentral:lncRNA from 1 species
GCUAAUUUGAUCAAUGAGAAAGGAUGAGAGUUGCUGAAUUGAAGACUAACAUAUCUGUGAAGAGCAGGUCUUUUCGUCCUACUUCUACACCCCAACGGUACUUACCACUAUUACUUUCUCGAUAUCCAUCUUCUUAAUUACUUACUCAUCUUUCUAAUCAUUUUGUAUGUGGAUAUUCUCGAAGAAUCUCACCUCACUUAUUGCGUUUGUUUGUAACAAGGUCCAUAUAUUAAAGAUUUGAACAUCACCAACAUUAAUAUCAUCAAAUAGUAGUACAAGAUACAAAGGGUUUAACUUUAAGAUUUAGUCCUCAAUUUAUUCUACUGCUGUAGUAAAUUUAAUAUUUUGUUGAAAUUUUGCUAGUUUUUUCACACACCCACUUACCUUAUUGUUAAAAUAUUGAUCAGUUGAAUUGAACCGAUUGACCAAAGACUGCAUUCUAUUCCGCCAUGCUGAUUGUUUUCUUGUUUAAACAUAGUAUGGUGUUAAAGGUGUGGGGACCGCUAUAGCAAUAGCUAUUUCAUUAAUUUUCAUCCUCAGAGGUCCCUUAGCAACUUCAGCUGAGGCAUGUCAUAUAAUUAUUAGCUAGCUGUUACACUAUGAUAUACACCUUACCAUCACACAGAACUUUCUUCCAACAUAUUCAGAAGAUUGUAAGCCACUUGCUACAUUAAAUCUUAGAGCAGAACACAUACAAUAUUGUAGCUUAGUUUAUGUUCUGUUGCCUCUUAAGCAGGGCCCGAGUUAGGGGGUCCAUCGAAAUUAUUCUGUAUAUACAAAGUCUACAUUGUUUUUCUGAUGUAUAUAUAGUAGAUGUGAAUCUCCUGAAAGUUCUUCUUGUAUUUACUUCGUUAUAUUUUAUUUGAAAAUUCUGGCUCUGCCACUGCUCUCAAGCUUUGGCAUGGCCUUUUGUCCGUUCCUACAGAUCUUUUACAUCCUUGUGAUCUGCCAGAAUAUAGAUAACUUUCAAAUUCCAAAUAUUUCGGUUUUUUAUUCUUGACAUGUAAGCUGAUUGUCUUCUUCUUUCUUAUUAGGACAGUGUAUGCGUUAUUUCAUAACUUCUCUUACAACUUUUCACUAUUAUCAAAUUUUCUGUUGCAGGCUGAUUUUUGAUGUUUCUAGUGAUGUUGAAGUAGGAGCGGCCAGUUUUGCUCUUCAAAAGGUAUGAAUAAUGUAGCACCUAAAUUUUCUGUGUUCUUCUAUCUUUGAUAUAUUGAUCCCUUCGUAAGUUAUUGAACGACUCAAGCUAUCUAAAGCAGUAUUCAUGCCAGUGAAUGGUUUAGUCUACAUGUAGCUUAAAAAUCACUAUCAAAGCUAUUUUAAUAUAUUGUAGGAGGUCGUGCGCGUUAUAUUUGAGUUAGUUAUCUUGAUUGUUAUGGACAAGUACUAUAGUUAUCUUUUAGGUGAUCUGUCUUGUUUUAUGUCAGUUAAUCCCACUAUAGUUCUCCACCUUAUAUACAAUGAAAAUGUAACGAAUGAAUGUUUACUAGAGUACUAAUGUGGUUGGUUGGGUGGGAACUCUACUACCCAAAUCUAUCGCACCAAGCCUUUGGCUGGGUGUGUAUAUUUUGUGUGGCAGAAGUGGAAUAAUAGGGUGUCAUGCUAAGGAUUAUACUGUAAUGCCCCGAGAGUACACUCUGGGUGUCACAUGAUACUUACGACCCCAAAGGACCACAAGCUAACCCAUGACUGGUACCUGCUAUGAGCAUUGAUUAUAAUAAUGGAACAUAUCUGCUGAAGAAAUUUGAAAAUGCCAUACGGUUCUCAGAAUACUAAAAUAAUAACUGAGUAUAACUGGUAAUAACAUUUGAAAACUGAAUAACUGACAAUGCUAGUCUGAAAGCCUCUAACUAUCUAAAUAUGGAGUAAAUGGGACAAACCCCCAACUAACUCUGACUGAAAUAACUACUGAACUAUUGGAAUACUAAAAUAGAUAAACUCUAUCCUCAAAAUAUGAGGACUCACAACUAUAACUGCUGCUGAUAGCCUGAUCUGCUAAGUACGGUCAGGAACCUGACCGUCCGAACCUAUGAUAUGAGGCAUCAUAGCGCAAAAGAGAGAGUAUGCAUCGGUAUGUGGAAUGUACUGGUAUACUAAGUGAGGUAAGGCUGAUAUACAUGGGUUCAUAUGCAUGAGAUGAUAACUGACUGAAUGAACAUCAUGAAGUAACUGAAUAAGAGUACAUGCAAAACUAUAAUUACUGAACAUGCAAUACUGCGCAUAUAGGUAAACAUCGUGUAUCUGAGCUUAUACUAAAACUGAGUACUAAUUUCUGAUGGUUGAGUAACUGAUAAUUGAUAGCCAUGGUUCAGUAGAACUGACUGAGUUCUUUAUUGAAUACUAAGACUGAAACUGUAAUUGUGGGAGUAUUCAUCUAACCGACAUACCCAAUAUAGACUGGUUUGGGGUCCAACCUAUGACCCCAGUUGGAAGGGUGUUAGCACCUUGCCACGGGUUACUAACAAUGUUAUGUCAACUCUAAUCUGGCAGGAAAACCAUGAAAUAUAUAUGAUUGCAUCAACCCUAGUCUGGCAUGAAGACAAGUUACCCUACGUUGGCUACGUAGUUCUGUAACUCAUGGAUUGCUACUAAGGACCAAGCCCUAACUGGCAGGAAUGCCCCCAACCCUAAGUUCGCUCGGUGCUGAAUCGUACUCCUAAUUGAAAGACACUGAUCACUACACUGUACUAAGUUUGACUGGACUGACCCUGAUUGUGUUGACUGACUGAACUGGUCUGAGUUCACUGAGUUCUGUUAACUGAGUGAGUCCUACUGAUCUUGACCUUUUACUGAGACUAUUCUAUAACUACUGCAACUAAGUAAACAACUAAAUUUCAGGUAACAAAUACCCCCAGGACUCGAUAGCAUAAUGGAGAAACUCAUUAGAACUUUAGCAACACAAAAAUAGGUUACUAUGCAUAAUUUACUCAUAUGGACAUUUUAUCAAACACUAGGGGAGCAUGAUUGCUAUACAUGAUGACUAACCAGAUAGAGUAUCAUAACUACAACAUGCAACUAGCAAAUUCAAGGGUUUUGACAUGAGAGAUUCAUAAUCUAACACACAUGCUAACUUAAUUUCAUGGAACUCAUAAAAGAUCUUAACUUGAAACCCAUACAACAACACAAACAUGAACAUAAUUUAAUUCAUAACAUGGGAAUCAUAAUUCAAGUUUUGAAAAGGGUUCUUAAACUCCAAGGGCGGAAGGAAACCCAAGGAUAAACACCUAACAUAUACUUGAGUGACGAAAUUAGUGAAGAUUGUUGGGUAUUUCUUGAAACUUGAUCUUGAGCUUGAUGAACUAGGGUUUAUUUUUUGAGAGGAUUUUGAUAAUGAGUGAAUGUAUUUUGUCUAUUGAGGGUCUGAAUUUCGUGAUAUGGGGGUCUAAUGUGGGAAGAAAAUGACUUAAUUACCCCCACAAACCCGUAACUUAAUACAAAAUCUCUGCCCAGCGAUGCAAUGACCGAUGCGCCGCAUCAAUGAUGUAGAUGCGAUUGCCGACGUGCCGCAUCGAUGCUGUCGACGUGAUAGCCAACGCGAUGCGUCAAGAUCGCAUUGGUUUGCUGUUUUGGUCAUCUAAACGUGACUCUAACAAUGUCCAAGAAAUUUGAAACUCACCCAAGAUGACCUAUUGACAUCCCUGAUCAUGAAUCAACUUAAAAAUUGAUAUUCUAAGGUCGUAAGGAUAAAAAAUAAGAUCAUCCAAUUACAAAGGUUAAAAAUGCUUCUAAGUCUUAACACUCAGUUGAAUUUUUUUUAAGUCUGAGACCCCUUAUUACAAGCUUUAUGAGACUGAAUUAAACUAGAGCUUUUGUGGGGUCUUACAGAUACAAGGAGAGUACAACUACUAACAAGGGAGAUAGGUAAUAUCACAGUAUGUUGUCAAACACAACGAAAAUUGAGACCACCUGAACUAUUCAUCCCCCAAACUAUACAAACGAGACAUAAUAGAGAGAACUCAUUACAGCAAAAUGAGAAAUGUAAUAAGAGGCGCACAACUACAGAGUUAUAUCAAAGGUAAUAAGAAACAGAAGCUUAUGAAUCAAAUAGAAUGCUAAUAUCAAAGUUAAAAAGAAAAGAAAAAGAAUAAAAGGUGCUAAGCUAGUCACUGUCACGUGCUGUCAGCACUCCUGGGAGCACCAGUGGUUGAUUUGAAUUUUGAAAAGUCGACUAGGUCCCCGGAUAAUUUGUCUUAUGGUUUUGAUGGCUUUCCAGAUGGCAUAUACGAAGGAGUGGAAACUAGAUAAGAAGAACCAUUAUUUGUCAUAGAGAACCCAGACGUUCCUUGGGCUAGGAACUAAGUAUUUUGUUGUUGAGGGUUACCAUAAUCAUAACUGACCAUUUGGUUAACAUACAUUUGUUGGGAAUACAUAUAAGCCAUAUGACCAGAAGGCAUUUGUUGUGGAUAUAAACCCGUUGGCUGUUCACGUUGGAAUUGUUGAGGAUGCAAGCCUUCCAUCUGAUUGCUUUGCAUGGUCUAAUUAUUCAUCAUAGCAGGUUGUCCAGUAGUAUUUGGCUGAUAUAUGUCGUGGAGGUAUGUACCGCCCACUAGUUGUUGGGCAUUUGCUGCAACCAGCUGAUUAUUUUGCAUUGACAUAGCAUGUGGACUUCCAGGCAUCACCUGAUUAUUAAGCAUAGGCUGAGCACUAUACUACUUUUAUGCUCACAAGUCAAAUAUUAACUAUUAAAUUUCAAAUCAUGUAACCCAAAUACAACUGCUAUGAAUCAAUUUUACAUAUGAGCCAAAAAUUGGGUUUAAUAGGAAGAUUAUGAUGAUAUUGUCUGAAGAACCGGUUUUCUAUUUUGGUUAAACUCAAAUAUCGAUGAUGUUUUUAGUUGUACGCAGAUAUAAAUAUUUUAUAACAAGGACUGAAAAUUUAUCUGAUUGAUUUUUAUACUUUACAUUUUUAUGUAGCCAAGUGAUGCGGCUAGUUGACCUAUUUUGUCCAUGGAUGCAAAGAGACCAUAUGAUGAUAGUAAUCCUAAUGACGGCCAUUGAUUUCGUUACAGAUUGUCUUGGAUAUUCAAUUAAGAUGAUGUAACAGUGUGGUUGGAGCGAAUCUUAAAAUAUUGAAGGUCUUGUGUUUAAAUUUGAUUUUGGAGUUCGAAGAUACUAGUUUAUGUUGAAAAUUUGGAGUUUGAAGAUGCUAAUGUUGAAAAUUUAAUUUUGAAGUUUAAUGUUCAAUGCAUUUUUGAAAUGCUUGUCACUUACAAUGUCUAAUUAGUCAUAUUGUGUUAAUAUAUGAAUUGAAUCAAUAUUGGAUUGUAGAUUAUGUCUAAAGGAACAAUUAAAUUUCAGCUAAAAUUAGAAUUUAUAAUUUGUUAUUGAAAAUUGAUGGGUCCCACUAAAUUUUAAAAAAAAGUUCGGAGGUUUUAAACCGCCUCAAUUUGUAAAUAAAAAUUUAUUAUAAAAGAAUUAAAUUUAGAGUAACGGAGGUCAACCGUCGCAAAAUAAUCUCCACAAAUCAAAUAUGACGAUCGAAAAAAAUUGUCGCAAAUUGUUUGUGACGGUUCGUAUUGUGGGGGUUUUGGGAACCGCCGAAAUCGCAAUUUGCGGGGGUUUAAAACCCCACAAACCUUAAAAUUAACCCCCGCAAUUUCACCCUCUUUUUGUAAUGAACAAUUACUUGUCACUUGAUAGAUAGUAAUUUUGUUAUGCAAAAACGCAUUCUAGCAUUUUUGUAUGAUGAAGAUCAUAGACACAUUGAAAGAUUUAUUUCUGAAUCUAUUUCUAAAGUAGCAAAAUAUUAUGGUAUUAAAAGAAAAGUUAUAUGUAUAGCUUUUGAUAAUGCAUCUAACAACAAU